CCUACGGGAGGCAGCAGUGGGGGAUAUUGCACAAUGGGGGAAACCCUGAUGCAGCGACGCCGCGUGGGUGAAGAAGCGCCUCGGCGCGUAAAGCCCUGUCAGCAGGGAAGAAAAUGACGGUACCUGAAGAAGAAGCCCCGGCUAACUACGUGCCAGCAGCCGCGGUAAUACGCAGGGGGCAAGCGUUAUCCGGAUUUACUGGGUGUAAAGGGGGCGCAGGCGGCGAUGCAAGCCAGGAGGGAAAGCCCGGGGCCCAACCCCGGGACUGCUGUUGAAACUGCGUGGCUAGAGUGCAGGAGGGGCAGGCGGAAUUCCUGGUGUAGCGGUGAAAUGCGUAGAUAUCAGGAGGAACACCGGUGGCGAAGGCGGCCUGCUGGACUGCAACUGACGUUGAGGCACGAAAGCGUGGGGAGCGAACAGGAUUAGAUACCCCAGUAGUC
rnacentral:rRNA from 1 species